UUUUUCUUCAUAUAUGUGCUAGAGAAGCUGUCAACCUGGAAACACCAAUGAAUACAGACCAAAACAAACCCUAGAAAAGACCAGUUUUAUUAGUCAAGCCAGGAAAGGGACAACCUAGUAAGACAGAAAACUUGUAGACAAUAACUGCCCUACUCUAGCCAAAAACAAUAGACAAACUGUGCUCCAUCCCCCACUCUCACCAGCAAAGACUGAGUAUUGAGCUUAAGACCUCUCCUGCUUGCCCAGCUGUAACAAGACCCCCCUCCUGUGUCUCUUCCCCAGUAUUCCUGCUGGGAUAGUAUCAGAAAAGGUGAAGCCCUAGUCAGGAGCCUAGAUUUUCAUUCCCACUGGGCAGUAAUGAUGUGUCCCUUCCAUCCCCCCACCCCAAACAGUAACAAGUUCCCUCUCAUGGUGUCAAUGGAGGCUAUCUGGGAAGCACUAAGGAGGCACCUCUACCCUUCCCAGCCAAGAUAUGUGUGCAGAAGCCUAGCAGGGAGCUGGGACUUGGACUCCCACCUGAUGGCAACAAGGUGGUGCUCCCACAUCUCUCACUGCACGGAGUCAGACGAGGCCUGCAAAAACAAAUUUAAAUAAGAUCUAGAGUCUCAGCAUAAUACUAAAACAUUUCAGGAUACAAUUGAAAACCAUCCAUCCUACCAAGAACCAGGAAAACUAAAUGAGAAAAGAGAAUAGAUACUAAAACCAAAAAGACACAGAUGUUGGAAUUACUUGACAAGGACUUUAAUGCAGCUAUCUUUAAAGUGAUUCAAUUUGCUAUUGAAUUAUGAAAAAAUAGAAUUCUCAACAAAGAAAUAGAAGAUGUAAAGAACCAGAUGGAGAUUUUUAAACUGAAAAUACAAUAGCCAAAAUUUUAAAAAGUCAACUGAACAGCAGAAUGGAGAGGGCAGAGAAAAAAAGUGAAGUGAAUGAACUUGAAGAUAAAACAUUAGAAAUUACCCAAUCUGAACAAAAGAGAGAAAAUAUACUGAAAAAUAAAAAUGAACAAAUCAUCAGGGACUUGUGGGACUAUUUUUAAAAGUUCUAAUAUUUGUACCAUCAGAGUCCCAGGGGAGAAGAAAGACGAUAUGGUUGAAAAGGUAUUCAAAGAAAUGAUAGCUUAAAAUUUUCAAACUUGGCGAAGGACAUAUUCAAGAAGAACUUAAGAAGUUCAGCAAACUCUGAACAGGAAAAUCCCAAAGAAAUCCACUCCAACAUACAUUAUAACCAAAUUUCUGACCACUAAAUAUAAAAUCUUGAAAACAGUGAGGACACUUUACCUAUAGGGGAAAAACAGAAUAACAGCAGAUUUGUCAUCAGAAACCGUGGAAUUUAGAAGGAAGUAGUACAUAUUUAAAGUACUGAAUGAAAAGAACUGUCAACCCAGAAUUCUAUAUCCAGCAUAUAACUGGCCCAUCAAGGUUGAAAGUUGACAGUUGUACAUUCAGAUAGCACAUCCUCACAUUAUAAGAAUUCAAAGCAAAAACAGGAUAAAGGAAAUAAUAGAGCUUCUUUCUCACGUGCUUCUCACUUGUUAAGGAGGGCAAAAAAAUUUUUUCCCAGUGACAGUUUUUCCCUCCCUCAAGAUGUAUCCAUUUGCAAGAACUGGAUCCCAUAGCCAUAGUAGAUACAAGUAUACUGAUAAAGUGAGUAUCUGAUAUUUUCAGGCUCAAUAAGUGGGAGACAGGCAAGAAAAGGGGGCAAUGAAGUGAAGAAUAGGACAUAGCCAGCCCUCAUGUUCACAAAGAACCAUAAAUUAAUGUUGUCUCUAAAUGAGGUUAGUGUCAUUGACAAGAUUGAAAAAUGACAUUUCUUACAUAAAAAAAUGUAUAAACAUUUAGUGUGCCUAAUAAUUUUUGUUGUUGUUGGGUUUUUUUGUUGUUGUUUUGUUCUUUUGUUUUGUUUUAUUUUGUUUUGUUUUUGAGGCAGAGUGUCACUCUUUCACCCAGGCUGGAGUGCAGUGGUGUGAUCUUGCCUCACUGCAACCGCCUCCCAGGUUGAGGCAGGAGAAUUGCUUGAACCUGGAGGGUGGAGGUUGCAGUGAGCCAAGAUCACGCCACUUUACUCCAGCCUGGGUGACAGAACAAAACUCUGUCUCAAAAACAAAACAAAACAAAAAAGAAAAAUAUAUUUUGGGAUCCCCAUAAAAAGGAAUAGCCUCGUCUCACUGAGAGAGGUUCUGCAGAUUGCUGUUCCCAGCCAUGUCUUUGUCUCUGUAGUUAGAGGUGCCAUUAGCAAAUAUUAAGAGUGUGUUCCAUGCCGUACACUGUUUCAGAUGCUGGUGAAAAAGUCAUGUCCUCUACCUCCAGGAAAAAAACCUAGGAGGAACUAUGAACUGUAAACCAGUAAUUACAAGUGUCAGGGGUGUUAUGAAAGGGAAAGUAUAAAGUGUU
rnacentral:lncRNA from 1 species